rnacentral:lncRNA from 1 species
ACUGACAUACUUGAUUAAACUAAUCUCCCUGCAAGUGUCAGUAGAUUAGUUUAAUCAAGUGUUUAAGUCCUACCCUCCCGGGUAGCGCAGUGGUUAAGGGCGCUGUAGGGGCGCUCGUCUCUCCGGAGCCCGUACGGGAGUUGUAGCGAUGAGACAAGAUAGUAGGGCGCUGUAGGGGCGCUCGUCUCUCCGGAGCCCGUAGGGGAGUUGUAGCGAUGAGACAAGAUAGUAGGGCGCUGUAGGGGCGCUCGUCUCUCCGGAGCCCGUACGGGAGUUGUAGCGAUGAGACAAGAUAGUAGGGCGCUGUAGGGGCGUUCGUCUCUCCGGAGCCCGUACGGGCGUUGUAGCGAUGAGACAAGAUAGUAGCUACUACAACAAUUGGAUACCACGAAAAUUGGGGAGAAAAUGGGGUAAAAUAAAAAAAUAAAUGUAAAAAAGUCCUGGUCUAGAAUAAAAAUGGGCACACCCCAGAAACAUUGCUUUAGCCCAGGGGUGUCAAACUCAUUCCACAGAGGUGUUUUUCUUUUUUCCUUUCAAUUAAGACCUGGGGGAGUUAGUGACCUUGAUUGAUUAAUUAAGUGGAGCGAAAACACGCAGACACUCGGCCCUCCAUGGAAUGACUUUGACACGUGCUUUAGUCAAUGACUUUCUCAUUUGUUGUAAUACCAUAAACGUAUCUAAAGCUGUGGAACAGCUUUCCCCAAUGCAAACUCUAAGUGACAGUGAAACUAAGUUUCAAGGAAGAAAUAAACCCCAGUCCAACCAGGUUACACCUGUGCACCGCAGAUCAACAUGCUGUAUCAGGGCUAAAUGUUUCCCUGAUAACUGGAUCAGUUUUUAA